rnacentral:lncRNA from 1 species
GGGAAGGAAAAGGUGGAAAUAAAUUUGGCUUGAGGCCAUAUUGUCCCCCUGGGCUCAAUCCCAAGAUCAGUCAAUGGGAGAUGUUCUGUGAGCUUGACAGGACAUUUUAGUGAGCCCUAUAUAAUCCUGGAAUACCAAGUUUUGUGAAAUGGAUAUUCUGCAGAUUCAACUGAAUUGGGCUUUACUUCUACUUAAGUAAACAACAACUAGGCAGUCACAAUUUCUAAUUUCAGAAAAUGAAUUAUUCUACUGUUUUCACAGGAGCGGAAAGAAGAAAGUAAAGAGAGAAGCCUUACACAUGGCUUUGUCCAUCUCUAUGGUCUACAAGAGAAAGAAUCCAGAGGUAUGCAGAGAAAGAGUCAUCAUGGAUCAAAGGAACCCCAUGCAACCUUCCAAAAGAAGGCUUCACCCUCGUCUUGGAAGAGUGUACCUGCACUUUCAAUGACUUUGUCCACAAUGGCAAUGGUAGAAAGAUGUGAUCUGAUUUUGUUAGCGCUCCAAAAUGGUGAGACUAGAAGUGACCUCAGUCAAAAAGUUGUGUGGAUUUUUGAGCUAUAUUGAGUCUGAAAUGUGGCUUAUACAUGUAUUUCCUCUGAGUAUGUAUGCUAUGAAUGUAUGGAUGAAUGCUGAGUAUGUAAGACACCAAGCUCCUUAACCUAAGCUUGGUGUUUUACCCAUCUGCUCACAUAGUUUUAGUUGCUCAGAAAGCCAGUAUGCAUACAUCUACUCACAAUACAAUAAGUAGAUGCUAAUAUGACUGCAUGAGUAUUGGCUCUCACAGUGGAGAGAACAUCUGUAUCAAUGUUUAUAUUAACAACUGCACCAUCAAAUUCACAUCUGGAAAAGUCCAAAUCUGUUUUGAAGCAGUAUUUUUAACUUGUUAAUAUUAUUUGGUGUUGGAAAAAUAAAAUAAAAUAAAUAAAAUAAAAUAAAAUAAAA